rnacentral:tRNA from 1 species
GUACGUGUGGCCGAGAGGCGAGGCAGACGCCUGUAACGCGUCAUGACGUCGGUUCGAAUCCGCCCACGUACU